AACGAACGCUGGCGGCAGGCUUAACACAUGCAAGUCGAGCGCCCCGCAAGGGGAGCGGCAGACGGGUGAGUAACGCGUGGGAAUCUACCCAUCUCUACGGAACAACGCAUGGAAACGUGUGCUAAUACCGUAUACGUCCUUCGGGAGAAAGAUUUAUCGGAGAUGGAGGAGCCCGCGUUGGGUUAGCGUGUUGGUGGGGUAAAGGCCUACCAAGGCGACGAUCCAUAGCUGGUCUGAGAGGAUGGUCAGCCACACUGGGACUGAGACACGGCCCCGAAUACUACGGGAGGGAGCAGUGGGGAAUAUUGGACAAUGGGCGCAAGCCUGAUCCAGCCAUGCCGCGUGAGUGAUGAAGGCCCUAGGGUUGUAAAACUCUUUCACCGGUGAAGAUAAUGACGGUAACCGGAGAAGAAGCCCCGGCUAACUUCGUGCCAGCAGCCGCAGUAACAC
rnacentral:rRNA from 1 species